UCAGAACGAACGCUGGCGGCGCGCUUAACACAUGCAAGUCGAACGGGGUCAUUAUGAAGUAGCAAUACGGAUUGAUGACUUAGUGGCGAACGGGUGAGUAAUACAUAGGCAACCUGCCCUUAGGAUUGGGAUACUCCCGAGAAAUCGGGCACAAUACCGGAUAUGAUUACGAGGUGAAAGUCCUUGUGAUAAAAGCUGUGAGCAAUCAUGGCACCUAAGGAGGGGCCUGUGGCCUAUCAGCUUGUUGGUGAGGUAACGGCUCACCAAGGCUAAGACGGGUAGCCGGACUGAGAGGUCGAUCGGCCACACUGGAACUGAGACACGGUCCAGACUCCUACGGGAGGCAGCAGUGGGGAAUUUUGCGCAAUGGGCGAAAGCCUGACGCAGCGACGCCGCGUGGGGGAAGAAGGCCUUCGGGUUGUAAACCCCUUUCGUGAGGGAAAAAGUCCCGGGCAACCGGGAUGAUGGUACCUCGGGAAGAAGCCACGGCUAACUCUGUGCCAGCAGCCGCGGUAAGACAGAGGUGGCAAGCGUUGUUCGGAUUUACUGGGCUUAAAGGGCGUGUAGGCGUCCUGAUAAGUCAGAUGUGGAAGCCUUGGGCUUAACUCAAGAAUUGCAUUUGAAACUGUCAGGAUUGAGUCGUGCAUGGGAGGGCGGAAUUCCUGGUGUAGCGGUGAAAUGCGUAGAUAUCAGGAGGAAGGCCGGUGGUGAAGAUGGCCCUCUGGGCAAUGACUGACGCUGAGGCGCGAAAGCGUGGGUAGCAAACAGGAUUAGAUACCCUGGUAGUCCACGCCCUAAACGGUGGGUACUAGGUGUGGGUGGCGAUAGUCAUCCGUGCCGAAGGGAAACCAUAAGUACCCCGGCUGGGGAGUACGGCCG
rnacentral:rRNA from 1 species